AACGAACGCUGGCGGCAGGCUUAACACAUGCAAGUCGAGCGCCCCGCAAGGGGAGCGGCAGACGGGUGAGUAACGCGUGGGAAUCUACCUUUUGCUACGGAAUAACUCAGGGAAACUUGUGCUAAUACCGUAUGUGCCCUUCGGGGGAAAGAUUUAUCGGCAAGGGAUGAGCCCGCGUUGGAUUAGGUAGUUGGUGGGGUAAUGGCCUACCAAGCCGACGAUCCAUAGCUGGUCUGAGAGGAUGAUCAGCCACAUUGGGACUGAGACACGGCCCAAACUCCUACGGGAGGCAGCAGUGGGGAAUAUUGGACAAUGGGCGCAAGCCUGAUCCAGCCAUGCCGCGUGAGUGAUGAAGGCCCUAGGGUUGUAAAGCUCUUUCACCGGUGAAGAUAAUGACGGUAACCGGAGAGGAAGCCCCGGCUAACUUCGUGCCAGCCGCCGCCGUAA
rnacentral:rRNA from 1 species